AGUGAACGCUGGCGGUAGGCCUAACACAUGCAAGUCGAACGGCAGCACAGUAAGAGCUUGCUCUUACGGGUGGCGAGUGGCGGACGGGUGAGGAAUACAUCGGAAUCUACUUUUUCGUGGGGGAUAACGUAGGGAAACUUACGCUAAUACCGCAUACGACCUACGGGUGAAAGCAGGGGAUCUUCGGACCUUGCGCGAUUGAAUGAGCCGAUGUCGGAUUAGCUAGUUGGCGGGGUAAAGGCCCACCAAGGCGACGAUCCGUAGCUGGUCUGAGAGGAUGAUCAGCGACACUGGAACUGAGGCACGGUCCAGACGCCUAAGGGAGGCAGCAGUGGGGAAUAUUGGACAAUGGGCGCAAGCCUGAUCCAGCCAUACCGCGUGGGCGAAGAAGGCCUUCGGGUUGUAAAGCCCUUUUGUUGGGAAAGAAAAGCAGCAGGUUAAUACCCCGCUGUUCUGACGGUACCCAAAGAAUAAGCACCGGCUAACUUCGUG
rnacentral:rRNA from 1 species